rnacentral:rRNA from 1 species
GAUGAACGCUGGCGGCGUGCCUAAUACAUGCAAGUCGAGCGAAUGGAUUAAGAGCUUGCUCUUAUGAAGUUAGCGGCGGACGGGUGAGUAACACGUGGGUAACCUGCCCAUAAGACUGGGAUAACUCCGGGAAACCGGGGCUAAUACCGGAUAACAUUUUGAACCGCAUGGUUCGAAAUUGAAAGGCGGCUUCGGCUGUCACUUAUGGAUGGACCCGCGUCGCAUUAGCUAGUUGGUGAGGUAACGGCUCACCAAGGCAACGAUGCGUAGCCGACCUGAGGGGGUGAGCGGCCAAACUGGGACUGAGAAACGGCCCAGACUCCUACGGGAGGCAGCAGUAGGGAAUCUUCCGCAAUGGGCGAAAGGCUGACGGAGCAACGCCGCGUGAGUGGUGAAGGCUUUCGGGUGGUAAAACUCUGUUGUUAGGGAAGAACAAGUGCUAGUUGAAUAAGCUGGCACCUUGACGGUACCUAACCAGAAAGCCACGGCUAACUACGUGCCAGCCGCCGCAGUAA